rnacentral:rRNA from 1 species
UACGUAGGGGGCAAGCGUUGUCCGGAAUUAUUGGGCGUAAAGAGCUCGUAGGCGGUCUGUCGCGUCGGCUGUGAAAACCCGAGGCUCAACCUCGGGCCUGCAGUCGAUACGGGCAAACUAGAGUACUGCAGGGGAGACUGGAAUUCCUGGUGUAGCGGUGAAAUGCGCAGAUAUCAGGAGGAACACCGGUGGCGAAGGGCGGGUCUCUGGGCAGUAACUGACGCUGAGGAGCGAAAGCGUGGGGGAGCGAACAGG